rnacentral:rRNA from 1 species
AACGUAGGAGGCGAGCGUUAUCCGGAUUUACUGGGCGUAAAGCGCAUGUAGGCGGUUUACUAAGUCGGACGUGAAAGCUCCUGGCUCAACUGGGAGAGGCCGUUCGAAACUAGUAGACUUGAGGGUGGUAGAGGAGAGUGGAAUUCCCGGUGUAGUGGUGAAAUGCGUAGAUAUCGGGAGGAACACCAGUGGCGAAGGCGGCUCUCUGGGCCACACCUGACGCUCAGAUGCGAAAGCUAGGGGAGAGAACGGGAUUAGAAACCCCGGUAUUCCUAGCCGUAAACGAUGUCAACUAGGCGUAGGAGGUUAUUGACCCCUUCUGUGCUGUAGCUAACGCGUUAAGUUGACCGCCUGGGGACUACGGCCGCAAGGCUAAA